rnacentral:lncRNA from 1 species
GAGACUUUAAAAAUACAAGAGGGGGUAAAAGCAUAAACAUAAAUCUUGACACAGAUUCGAAAUACUCGUCGAACAGUUAACUUCACCACCGUAGAUUUAUGCUUCAACCAUAUUAAACACUUAGUCUCCGGCACCUUUAACCGGCCUUACUCUCGGGUAAUUUGGCCUCGUAAACCUCUGUAGUCUGUUAAAUCAAAGGAGAAAGAAAGAAAGAGGCAAGAUUCAUUAGUAGAUGAUGAUGAUGAUAUCGAAAACAGUUUGAAGAUAGUGAGACAACACAUAACAUCACAAGUCAUGUUUCUUUUGUUUGCAUACCAUGUAAGUGGCAGUAAUCAUCUUUCCAGCAAACCAUCUUC